rnacentral:lncRNA from 1 species
UCGUAUGUUGGGAAUUACGCAUGUUUUCAAGGAGUCACAUUAUACACUCUUUAGAUGUAGAUGUAAGCUAAUCCCUCCCUGAAAACCUAGCUCUUUAGGUCCCUAAAAUAGUCUGUACAACAUACAGCUGCAAGUCCUCCAGAGAGGUACCUAUGUGGGAAAAGGAGAGUAGAAUUGUGCCAUUCCAUUAUAUAGAAUUGACUGUGGCUACUACCUAACUUAUUGCAAGGAGUGUGUUUGUGAAAGUUGCUAAAUGCAAAGUAACUGAGCUCAAGCAGAGGAAGAUAUUUAUAAUGAACAGUCUGAAGUGAUAUGCACAUUUUCUCUGUUUUCUGACAACUUAGUUGAUUCUGUCAUGGAGAUCUGUCCUUAUCUGUUCUUUCAAGUGAACAACCCAAAACCACUAAAGGUAAAAAGCUCUUGAAACAGAGAAAAUUCAAGGCUUACUGAUCAAGAUGAAUUAAAAUAAAAGGUCUGACAGCAGAUAUCUCUUACCCCUCGCAGCCUGCUGUGAUUGUUGAGUGAAUUCUGUCCUGCUGUGAUUCCAGCAACUUUCAUCACCUCUCUGAGGAGCAGUGAGUUCUGCAUUGCCUCUUCUGAACUUCUGUGAAACCUCUGUGCAUCUUUUUUAUCAUCAGCUCUGAGUCAAGCACAUCCACUUCAGGAUGAUCAUCUACUCCCAUCUGAGAGGCCCCACACCCCUUCUCAGCAGAAAACAUGCAGUGUACAUGCUGCAACUGGAUACAUCAGGACGGGUGCCUUUAAUCAGCCUCCCAUUGGCCACCUCAGCAAUGGGUUAACACAACAGCACAGCUUCACUGUGAGUUUGAGAAGCCAGGUGGUACCAGGUGUCAGAAUGGUUGUGAGGAGAACUCUUCAGUGGAAUUACAGCCUCUUGUUCAGCCCAGAAUUUAAGAAGAGGUGGAAAGAUGGAGAUAAUAACAACAAAAAAUUAAGGAGACAGGUCUGA